GCUCAUGAGGAGCUCUUGCAGCAUCAUGCAGUCUUCUGUAAGGGUGAACCUUUUCAUCAGCUUUAUCGCUUUCUGAAAUAUUCCACAUGUGGAGCAUAGAGGAUUUCUAAAACAUUUGUCAAAUCUACACUAAGCUAUUCUAACAUUUCAUAAGUUACUGCAAAUAAAUGCUGGACUGUUUGUGCUUUGAAGAAUGACCCCACACUUGAUCACUGAGAAGCAACAGCUUGGUUUAUUUGUUUCCAACUAAGUUGUCCGGGACCAAAGAAUAAAAGUUGAUUUAUGCCAAAGGCAAGUGAAGUAGUUCUCAUUUUCAAUGUGUAAAACUUUUUAAAUCAUCUUCACUGUGACUAAAAGUUGAAUUGUUCUGUAAAUCUUGUGGAUGAUGUCAUUCCUUCCCUUUUUCUCUAUAAAUACUGUAAAACUUGGCAACAGCUCCGUUUUUCUCAGCUUUUCUCAACAAGAGUGGAAGCAGCAAUACUGUCAUUUCCUGCAUUUUGAUCGCCUUUAUUUUAGUUCCUUUAUUUUAUUCCCUUGACUACGGUCUAAACACAACAUCCACUUCUGCUGCAACAAUCAUUAAAGUAUGUUAUGAUUAACCUUCACAAUAAAUAAAAAACUAUCUAAAUUGAUAAUUGAAAAAUGUUUGAAGAGAAUAAAGCGAUUGUCCUCAGUUUUCUUGCUGAAUGAGUUUGUGUUCUUGGUGUCAAUGGGGAAAAAAAGUAACUUUCUUGAAUCAUUUAUAUGUCCUCCCUGCUCUUUGGAAACUCAGGUAUGAACGUGAAACUCUCACUAAAGAGUUUCAAAUAUUUGUGGUAUGAACAGGCUUGAACAUUAUUAACUCAAAUAUUUUAUAUGUAUGUAACAGAUUUUCUCCCCAGUGCAUUCCAAAUUAGACAAUAUCUUGCAAAGUAUUCAUAUUCUUUUAACCGUUUCACAUUUUGCUAGAUUGCAACUGAAAAACUUCUAUGUAUUUUAAUGGGAUUUUGUGUGAUAGUCGAACAUAAAGCCGAGUGCAGUUGUGAGGUCAAAUGGAAAACGAUGAAUAGUUGCCAAUCAUUCUACUAUAGAGCUGAAAGUAUGUCAUCAUGCCAGAAGGUGAAGCCAGUUUUAAAUCUAACGGGUUUGUUCUGUAUUCAGCUCUUCCCAUCGUCCCAUGGACUCAGCGUAGGUAGGCCGCCAUGUUUGAACUCUGAAUAACUGUAUUGAUAGUAGAGUAGAAGUGUUUUAACUGGAUCUUAAUAAAGGUUUAAAAUUAAAGGGGUCUGAAAGUAAACAAACACCACAGUUUUAGAUUUAUUUGUAGAAAAUAUUUAAAACUUAUAAUUUUCCUCCACUUCAGUUAUGCUCUGAUUUGUCUUGAUCUUUCACAUAAUAUCCCAAGAAAACCAGGAGACGUACGUGGUUCUAAGGUGACGCAAUGUAAAACUGUUCAAGGGGUGUAAAUACUUUGGCAAAUGUGUAAUCCCCUACUGCCUUAACUAAAGUAAAUAUGCUUUAAAUCUCAUUUAUAAUUUCAGUCUCAGCUGAGUAUGCCUUGGUUUUGACCAUGAUUAAGACCUAAGUGUGCAGAGCUAUUAAUGAUUUAAUUCAGAUGUUUGAGUUUUACAAUGAUUUAAAUUCACAUUAUUUAUCUUGAAUCUUGAUCCCCAAAGUCAAGUGCUGCAUGUGAAACUCCUUGCAACGUGCAGAACAAUUAAAUCUCUGCCGUGACGAGUGGUGCGUUCUCCUGUGCCCCCACUGGCCUGCUAUCGACUCGCAGCUCUCUCUCACACCCCCGCUUCCCCCCUUCCCGCGUCCUGCUGUCUCAACAAUUAAAUCAGUCAAGCUGACUCUCUUUCCUGUGUGCUGGGGGCCAGCAGAGGGGAAGUACACAAGGAAAGAAAAGCACUGCCUGAGUUCAAGUGCACACGCUUUAAAGACACAGCUGGCUUCAGCAAACCGGACCGAUCGACGAGGGAAAAUCAGCCGUGGAAGAGCAGAAUAAUAACCCUACUGACAAUGUGGUGGUGUACGUGGAGGCGGUAUGGGAAUUGUCUUAUAAAGAGAGGAGAUAUUUGAAAAAAAGAAAAAAGAAAAAGAAAAUCCCAACAGGAAAACUGAGGAAAAAUGUCUCCUCCCCCUUUUUUUUUUUUUCUCCAUAUAUACUCCCUCCCACCUUGGGCUCCCUCCCUCGCUCUCUCCUUCGUUUCUAUCCUGCAUACAUAUGCACACUCCCACAAACACGAUGACUGAUGUCUUUCCCUUCUCCGACCCGCUCUGAUUUUCUCAGCAGCCCUUUCUGCAGCUCCAAGACUUUCCAUUUGUUCUCGGAUGAAGCAUCCGGUGGAACUGGUUGUGCAGAGCUCUGGCACAUGCUGUCCCAGAUACACACUCAGCAGCAGCAGUGGAUCAGCGUGCCUCUCACUUUACCGCCUGUGACUUUAUCCGCUGCCUUUCCCCUCCAGCGCUCCUCCUCGCAGGACCGACUUCCUUUGUCCAUAAGGCAUGUUUUCCUUUCAAAGUGCUGAAUGCCAAGGGAUGAAGAACAGACAAAUGGUGCUUGGAGAGAAGAUGGGGAGGCAUCAGUGGAUAAAAUCUGACACUACUGGAGUGCCGUGGAGAUGCCAGAGUGCAAAACGACUUAAAAAAAAACACACAUACAAAUGAGACUAAGAAUGAGGGAACGGAGAGGAAGAAUCAGAUUGGAAUCGGGAAAGAAGAAACUUUGGAAAAAAAGCUGGCUUCAGCUUCGGCUUUGCGAGGCGCAGGCCACGAUGUAAGUGAUCUCAAGGUAACAUCUUUUCGGAGUAUUUCUGUACCCUUAUCUCCAAUUUCACAGCAUGAAAUAUGUUUUACACAAUACACAAACAGACACCCACAGAUUAGACGGCUGUAUUAACGACAAUGGCUCAUGGGAAUUUGGCCAGACUAACCCUCGAGGAAAAUAAUGAAUUUAGGAAGAAAGAAAAAUAAGAUGGAAGGAAAUAAGAGAGGCAGAAGCCAAAAGAAGAGAGAAACUUUGGUUGCAGUAUGUGUAACUGUACGAUUUGUCCAGAUAAUUUAUGACAGUGCUGGAUAUUUUUUUAUCUUUUGGGGGACUAAAUAUGCCCUCUGAAUGUCCAUAACAUAUUCAAGCUCUUGAACUGAGAAUUUCUUUCACGACAAAAGAUUUUGCCGAAGACGCUCGAUAAAUUGCACAGGUACAAAAAGCUUAAAAAGCAGGACAUAUUCUGUGUGACAAGUGCUGCUACUAAAUUUUGUCUAUGUUUAAUAAAGGCAGUUAGAUAUUACUAUACAUUUUAUUUGUUUGAAAUGCCUGUGUGAAUGAGUUUUAUUAUAUUUAAGUUACAGUCUAAUAACAUCUCAUGUCUA